rnacentral:rRNA from 1 species
UAAUACGAAGGGGGCUAGCGUUGCUCGGAAUUACUGGGCGUAAAGGGAGCGUAGGCGGAUAGUUUAGUCAGAGGUGAAAGCCCAGGGCUCAACCUUGGAAUUGCCUUUGAUACUGGCUAUCUUGAGUAUGGAAGAGGUAUGUGGAACUCCGAGUGUAGAGGUGAAAUUCGUAGAUAUUCGGAAGAACACCAGUGGCGAAGGCGACAUACUGGUCCAUUACUGACGCUGAGGCUCGAAAGCGUGGGGAGCAAACAGG